AAAAAAAGAAAGCGGUUAACGCCUUUACAUCAUUGUGAAAUCAAAACAAUGUCACGACUUAAUCAUUAUAAUACUUUAAUUCCUCACAAGCUACCAUAUCACCUUCAGCAUUUGACUAAAGCUUCAGAGAUCUGAUACUAUUUGCAAAACUAGGGAAGAAAUGGCCUUAGCUAUGGUGGGAGAGGCACUUAUCUCUGCUUCUGUGGAGAUCUUGUUGGAUAGGAUAACUUCUGCGGAGUUUCGAGAUUUCUUUGCCAAUAGAAAGCUGAAUGUUUCUCUCUUGGACGAGCUGAAGAUAAAGCUGUUGACACUCAAUGCUGUGCUCAAUGAUGCUGAGGAGAAACAGAUCACUAAUUCAGCAGUGAAGGCAUGGCUUAAUGAGUUGAAAGAUGCUGUUCUAGACGCUGAGGAUUUGUUGGAUGAAAUCAACACAGAUUCUCUGAGGUGCAAGGUGGAGGGAGAAUUUAAAACCUUUACUAGCCAGGUGAGGUCAUUACUUUCUUCUCCCUUUAAUCAAUUCUAUAGGAGCAUGAAUUCCAAGCUUGAAGCAAUAUCUAGAAGGCUAGAAAAUUUUCUUAAACAGAUAGAUAGUCUCGGUUUGAAAAUUGUCGCUGGCAGAGUCUCUUACAGAAAAGAUACAGAUCGAUCGGUGGAAUAUGUUGUUGCAAGAGACGAUGACAAAAAGAAGCUGUUGAGCAUGCUUUUCUCUGAUGAAGAUGAGAAUAAUAAUCACAUACAAGUGCUGACAAUAUGGGGCAUGGGAGGUCUUGGAAAAACAACCCUUGCUCAGAGCCUUUUAAAUGAUGAUGCAGUGCAGAACCAUUUCGAUCUCAAAGCUUGGGCAUGGGUAUCUGAUCCUUUUGAUGUGUUUAAGGCAACAAAGGCAAUUGUUGAAUCUGCCACUUCUAAAACUUGUGAUAUUACUAAUUUUGAUGCUCUUCGUGUUGAAUUGAAGAACACCUUUAAAGAUAAAAAAAUUUUGCUUGUGCUCGAUGACCUUUGGAAUAUGCAGUAUCAUGAUUGGGAUCAACUAAUAGCCCCUUUUAGCUGUGGGAAAAAGGGAAGCAAAAUCAUUGUGACAACCCGACAUCACAGAAUUGCAGAAAUCACUCGUACAUUUCCCAUUCAUGAGCUGAAGAUUCUUACGGAUGACAACUGUUGGUGUAUACUUGCUAAACAUGCAUUUGGAAAUCAAGGAUAUGACAAAUAUCCAAUCCUAGCAGAAAUUGGUAGACAAAUUGCAACAAAAUGCAAGGGUCUACCAUUAGCAGCCAAAACAUUGGGAGGUCUUUUGCGAUCAAAUGUUGAUGCAGAGUAUUGGAAUGGAAUUCUGAACAGCAACAUGUGGGCAAAUAAUGAAGUUUUAGCAGCUUUAUGCAUAAGUUAUCUUCAUCUUCCACCACAUCUGAAAAGAUGUUUUGCCUAUUGCUCAAUUUUUCCAAGACAAUAUUUGUUGGAUAGGAAGGAAUUGAUUCUGUUAUGGAUGGCUGAAGGCUUUCUUCCACAAAUCCACGGAGAGAAAGCAAUGGAAUCAAUAGGUGAAGAUUACUUUAAUGAAUUGUUAUCUAGAUCUUUAAUUGAAAAAGACAAAAAUGAGGGAAAGGAACAAUUUCAAAUGCAUGACCUUAUUUACGAUUUAGCCAGACUAGUCUCUGGUAAGAGAUCUUGUUACUUUGAAGGAGGAGAAGUCCCAUUAAAUGUUCGCCAUUUGACAUAUCCUCAAAGAGAGCAUGAUGCCUCUAAAAGAUUUGAGUGUUUGUAUGAGCUAAAGUUUUUGCGCUGCUUUUUACCACUAUAUGGAUAUGGAUCUUAUCCUUAUUGUGUAUCCAAAAAGGUGACUCAUGAUUGGCUGCCAAAACUAACAUAUCUGCGAACAUUGUCCUUGUUUAGCUACAGAAAUAUCACUGAGCUGCCUGAUUCAAUAAGCAAUUUGGUACUAUUGCGGUAUCUUGACCUUUCCUAUACUUCCAUCAAAAGUUUGCCAGAUGCAGCCUUUAGGCUUUACAAUUUGCAGACUUUGAAAUUAUCAAAUUGUGAAUCUCUUACGGAGUUGCCUGAACAGAUAGGAGAUUUGUUACUCUUACGGUAUCUUGACUUUUCCUAUACUUCCAUCAAUCGGCUGCCUGAACAGAUAGGAAAUUUGGUCAAUCUACGCCACCUUGAUAUUAGAGGCACAAAUUUGUGGGAGAUGCCAUCACAAAUAAGCAAGCUACAAGAUCUCCGUGUGUUGACUUCUUUUGUUGUAGGCAGAGAAAAUGGAGUAACUAUAAGAGAAUUAAGAAAGUUUCCUUACUUGCAAGGUACGCUUUCCAUUUUGAGGCUACAAAAUGUUGUUGAUCCCAAGGAUGCUGUUCAAGCUGACUUAAAGAAGAAAGAGCACAUUGAGGAGCUUACGCUGGAGUGGGGCAGUGAGCCACAAGAUUCACAAAUUGAGAAAGACGUACUUCAGAACCUGCAACCAUCGACAAAUUUAAAGAAACUCAGCAUAAGAUACUACAGUGGCACAAGCUUUCCUAAAUGGUUGAGUGACUAUUCGUAUUCUUAUGUUAUAGUCCUUUGCAUCACUGAUUGCAACUAUUGUUUUUCACUUCCACCAUUUGGACAACUACCUUCUCUCAAGGAGCUUGUGAUAGAAAGGAUGAAAAUGGUGAAGACAGUUGGUGAGGAAUUCUACUACAACAAUGGGGGUUCUCUUUCAUUUCAACCAUUUCCAUUGUUGGAGAGUAUCCAGUUCGAAGAGAUGUCAGAGUGGGAAGAGUGGCUACCAUUUGAAGGUGAAGGCCGCAAAUUUCCUUUUCCUUGCCUUAAGCGUUUGAGUUUAUCAGAAUGCCCCAAGUUGAGAGGAAACUUGCCCAACCAUCUACCUUCAUUGACAGAGGUUAGUAUAUCAGAGUGUAACCAGCUAGAGGCAAAAUCGCAUGAUCUACAUUGGAACACAUCAAUUGAAGACAUAAAUAUUAAAGAAGCAGGAGAAGACUUGUUGUCCUUGCUUGACAACUUUUCUUAUAGGAAUCUACGGAUUGAAAUUGAAAAAUGUGACAGCUUGACAUCUUUUCCAAGAAUAAGACUAGGUGCCAAUUGUCUCCAAAGUUUGACUCUUUUUGAUAUUCCCAAUUUGAUUUAUUUCUCAGCUGGUGGCUUGCCAACGUCAUUGCAAUCACUUCAAAUUUACAACUGUGAGAACUUAGAAUUUCUGUCUCCCGAAUCAUUCCACAAAUACAUAUCACUUGAAUGUCUGACAAUUUACAAAAGCUGCCAUUCCCUGGCGUCCUUACCAUUAGAUGGUUUCUCUUCCCUGCAAUUUCUUUAUAUCGAGGAAUGUCCCAACAUGGAAGCAAUUACUACUCAUGGUGGAACGAAUGCUCUCCAAUUAACUACACUUGCUGUUGGGAAUUGUAAGAAACUUAGGUCACUUCCAGAGCAGAUUGAUCUUCCUGCCCUUUGUUGGUUAUUCCUUAAUGGGCUUCCAGAGCUAACAUCAUUGCCCCCAAGGUGUUUGCCUUCCAGUUUACAAACACUUGAAGUUGAAGUUGGAAUGCUAUCAUCGAUGUCUAAACACGAGUUAGGUUUCUUAUUCCAACGCCUGACUUCUCUGUUUCGUCUUUCCAUUACUGGUUUUGGGGAGGAAGAUGUUGUUAACACCCUGUUGAAGGAGUGCUUACUGCCCACUUCCCUGCAAUAUCUGUCCCUACGACAUUUAGAUGAUUUAAAGUUGUUGGAAGGAAAAGGGCUUCAACAUCUCACUUCCCUCACAGAGCUUGCCAUCUGGCAUUGUAAAAGCCUAGAGUCCUUGCCCGAAGAUCAGCUUCCAUCCUCUCUUGAAUUACUGGAGAUAGGUAGUUGUCCUUUACUAGAAGCAAGGUAUCAAAGUCGGAAAGGGAAACACUGGUCUAAGAUUGCCCACAUUCCUGCUAUCAAGAUAAAUGUUGAAGUGAUAAUAUGACCCUGUGGCCUGAGUAGGAACCAUCCAGAAGAUGGUUGCUGAGGUCCCGGGUGUGCAAUAUUUGCUGACCAUUUCAGUCAAGUUGUCACUUUUGUUUCUUCACCAGUGGAUGGUUUCUAUUGAAUCAUCUGAACCCAACACUAGAAAUUUCCUCUAUAACAUUUGUAAUUGUUGAUUUUUCUUGGAUUCAAUAUGGUAACAAACCAUUGCUUAAAGAAGAAACGUUCCUCUAGCUGGCUACCAAAUCACACUUCUCCAUCAGGACAAUCUUCUUUGGGUACCAAUCCCUAACAAUAAAAACAAGUUAAGCACGACUGAUAGAGUAUGCUUAUGUUUCCUAAAUUAGAGGCCAGGAAUUACCUCCAGAAUUAAGCUAGUGAAAUAGAAAGGAUAGCUACUAAUCCUAACGGCCUCACCAGCACUAAGGGGAACAAGCCAUAACCGAAUGGAUAGUCAGGGGGACAAGCACUACAAUCACUACAGAGGAUAUUUCCUAUACCACCCUUUUGCUAACAGACUGGGUAGUUGCAGAAGGAACUUAGUGGAUGAACUCCUCCCAUCCUGAGGGCUUCUUCAUGAUUCUUCUCGGCCUUGAGGUGCUAUCAACGACAGUUAAUUUUGCUCUUAUAAUUUCAAAUGUUAAUUAUGGUGUUUUACUAGAUAACAAAAUUUGAAUUGGAUAUGUAUUGAAGAUAAAGCUUAUUAAUUCAAGAUAUUGCCUAUUGUUUAACUUGA